UGAAUACGAGACGCUAAGGCGUCGAAGUAGUGUAUGUCAUACUUCCAAGAAAAGCUUGCACUGUCAUAGAUAAAAAACGCCUGUACCAUAACCGACACAGGUGGGUAGGUAGAGUAUACUAAGGGGCGCGAGAUAACUCUCUCUAAGGAACUCGGCAAAAUAACUCCGUAACUUCGGGAGAAGGAGUGCCUUAUUCGUAAGGUUGCAAUAACAAGAUCCAAGCAACUGUUUAUCAAAAACACAGGUCUCCGCUAAGUCGUAAGACGAUGUAUGGGGGCUGACGCCUGCCCAGUGCCAGAAGGUUAAAGAAGUUGGUUAGCAAUUGCGAAGCUGAUAACUGAAGCCCUGGUGAACGGCGGCCGUAACUAUAACGGUCCUAAGGUAGCGAAAUUCCUUGUCGGGUAAGUUCCGACCCGCACGAAAGGCGUAAUGAUUUGGAUACUGUCUCGGAGAGGGGCUCGGUGAAAUAGACUUGUCUGUGAAGAUGCGGACUACCUGCACCAGGACAGAAAGACCCUAUGAAGCUUUACUGUAACUUGAAAUUGAAAUUGGACUUUAUUCGCGCAGUAUAGGUGGGAGGCGUUGAUUAUAAUCUUGUGGGAUUAUUGGAGCCAUCAGUGAGAUACCACUCUUGUAAUGUUAGAUUUCUAACUUUGAAUCAUUAUCUGGUCAAAGAACAGUUUCAGGCGGGCAGUUUGACUGGGGCGGUCGCCUCCUAAACGAUAACGGAGGCGUACAAAGGUUUCCUCUGAACGGUUAGAAAUCGUAUCUAGAGUGUAAAGGCAUAAGGAAGCUUGACUGUGAGACCUACAAGUCGAGCAGGGACGAAAGUCGGUCUUAGUGAUCUGACGGUACUGAGUGGAAAGGCCGUCACUCAACGGAUAAAAGUUACUCUAAGGAUAACAGGCUGAUCUCCCCCAAGAGUUCACCUCGACGGGGAGGUUUGGCACCUCGAUGUCGGCUCAUCGCAUCCUGGGGCGGUAGUACGUCCCAAGGGUUGGGCUGUUCGCCAUGAAAGCGGUACGCGAGCUGGGUUCAGAACGUCGUGAGACAGUUCGGUCCAUAUCCGGUGUAGGCGUUAGAAUAUUGAGAGGAGCCUUCUUUAGUACGAGAGGACCGAGAAGGACAUACCUCUGGUGUACCAGUUAUCGUGCCAACGGUAAACGCUGGGUAGCUAUGUAUGGAGUGGAUAACCGCUGAAAGCAUCUAAGUGGGAAGCCCACCUCAAGAUAAGUAUUCUCAUC
rnacentral:rRNA from 1 species